UUAUUAUUAUGUAUUUAAUAUUAAAUACUUUCUAUAAUGAUAAUCUUAAAUACUUAAAAAAAAUUAAUCCAACAGCAAUAAUAUCGAUUACUUUAUAAACCUUUCUCUUCUAUAUCCCCACCACUAGUCAAUGACUAUAGAUUUACUCUCACCUUGUCCGAGCGCACACUGUUAUAUUGUUACUCGUUCACCGUUAUAUUAUGCUAUAGAUACUAUCCUAUAUUAUGUACAAGUAAUAGUAAUUAUAAUACUACCAUAAUAUUUUAGUUGUUAAUAUUUUUGUUUGAUAUACUUGAAUAUGUUCUAACAUAAGGUGUCUUUUAAUUACAUACAGUAUUCCAUGAUAGUAGUCGCUCCAUAGAUUAUUAUGAAGGGAAAAAAGCA